rnacentral:rRNA from 1 species
AUGAGGCCGGCGGCCGGAGAUGAUCCCGGAUCAGCGGGGACGCGGAAUCCGGCGUCGUCGGUCGGGGAGGCGUCCAGUGGAAGGUGGACUCGCUCCAGAGGAAGAUUGCUGGCGGCGGAGAACAGUGGCCCGGCGCAGUCAGUCGAAGAUUCUCGAGGCGAUCGGCGGAGGGAGGAGGGUUUCAGUGCGAGGAAGAAGCGGGCGGCAGCGGGCAGUGAAAGGAUGCUGUCCGCGGAGGAAGUCGCCUUAGCCGCCCGGCCGCUCCCUCCCCCGGAGCCUCCCUUCCCCAAAUCUGGCCGACAUGAUGAUGUGGUGGCUUGGAGUGAAGACCUAAUGUAG